AAUUACAAUUUUACAUGUCUGUAGAUUGUGUUUAGACCAGCCUCAUUGCAAUACUUCAUAUUCAUGCAAGUCAGUUCAGAGAUAUGGAGUUUGAUCCCAAUGGUGAUACUUACUUUGAUGAAGCAGUUGAUGGUUUUUGAAGGAUCUCUUCUCCAUUUGGAAGGUGUGAUUCCAUUGAUAAACUCUGUAAAAGGUGUGAGACCAUUAAUUGAAAGAUACAGGACUCACAACAGUUCAAGGACUUCUACCAGUUUACGUUUAAUGUUGCCAAAAACCUGGGCAGAAAGGACUAGGCUAGUGACAUAAUAUUAUACAUAUCUUGAGAUGGCCAUUGCCUACUGGAAUCUUAUUUUUACUGGUUGCUUCAAAUUUUUGGACUUGUGGUGUGAAUUUUUAAGAUCUCAUUAUAAAAAAGCUGGCAAUACCCAAAGACACUUUUAACCUUCUGCUAGAGUUUUCUAACAGGAUUGAUGACACCAUGAGCAAUUAUGAUGAAGAUGGUAGGUCUAUACUGUAUAAAUUGUAAUGUCCUCCUUUUUAAAUAAUUUGUAUUUUGUACAGCACUUUAAUGUAUGGCAGCUUUAUUUCUUUGUAAA